rnacentral:lncRNA from 10 species
AGAUGACCCAAGCCAAGUGCAGAAGGCGAGCCUCCUCCCAAAGCUCGGCUAGUCCCUCCACCAAAGCCAGGAUCAGAGCCCACACCUGCCUGGCCAACCCCUGGCACUGAUGAUGCCUGGGUGCGGGUUAAGCUGGGAGGAGCUCCUGCCUGCCUGGAUGAAGAGGAGGUCAAGACUUUGUCCCCCACUCCGCAAGAUACCCUCUCUGUUCCGGAGCGGUGAGACAGGAUUUCACCAUGUUAGCCAGGAUGGUCUUGAUCUCCUGACCUCAUGAUCUGCCCACCUCGGCCUCCCAAAGUGCUGGGCUUACAGGCGUGAGCCACCGUGCCCGGCCAAAAAUAACUUUUAAAAACAUGAGUAUAGCAUACACACACACAAAAGUCCACAAAUCCUAGGUGUACCACUUGAUGAAUGAUCCCAACGUGAGCACACCUCUGGAUUACCACCUGGAUCAAGAAAUAGGACAUCACAGCAGCUGGCAGCUUCCAAGGAGAAGCUCUGGAAAGUUCUGCCUGUCUCAGCACCUGGCUGGAUCGGAAACGAGUUUUCUUUAACCAGAUUUUUAAUGACUGAC